rnacentral:misc_RNA from 1 species
UUGCGGGAGCUUGCUCCCAAAAGUUAGCGGUGGCCGGGUGAGUAACACGUGGGCAACCUGCCUAUAAGACUGGGAUAACUUCGGGAAACCGGAGCUAAUACCGGAUAAUUCUUUUCUACACAUGUAGAAAAGCUGAAAGACGGUUUCGGCUGUCACUUAUAGAUGGGCCCGCGGCGCAUUAGCUAGUUGGUGAGGUAACGGCUCACCAAGGCGACGAUGCGUAGCCGACCUGAUAGGGUGAUCGGCCACACUGGGACUGAGACCUUUUUCAUACUCCUACGGGAGGGGGCAGUGGGACCCACUCAUCGGGAGGCAACAGUGGGACAGUUGGCUCUGAAUGAACGCUGGCUGCACACUCCUACUGGAGGCACUAAGGGGACUCAUACAGGAAGCAAAUGUGCGUCUCCACUAGGAGGUAACACCGUCACCGCCCCAGCAAGGCUGGAUUGGGAUCUUAUUGUGCCAGAUAUGUGUAGAAGAAUCUUCUCACUCCACCCCAACCUGACUAUCGUAACGUAACCGAACCUUAUAUACCCUACCAACUCUAUUUCCCUCUUAUCAUAUGAGCCACCUACUCACGAUCUCUCGCUCCCCGCACUCACGACGCA